GAAUUACUACAAUUCUGAAUUAGGAGAUAAUCAAAUGUUCAAAUGGCCAGUGUUUUCCUGUAGAGAAAACAAAAAAAUCUCCUUACUUUAACAAGGUACUGGGGAACUUGGAAAUACAACUAAAAUCUGGGAAUUCAGUAUGCCUUAUUUUAUAAAAUUUUCCUUUGUUCUUCUCUCAUAGUUUCCAAGCAAAGAAAAAUGAACUAGUUUUACCUUUUCAGGCAUUCCAUGUUCUUUUGCUGAGUACUGUAAACUGUUUUUACUUCUCAUGUGGAAUUCUUGUUCUUCUUCCAAACUACUAACAUCAUCAUCAUCUGAGCUCCCAGGGUCUGCGAGAGAUUUACAGUCCUGACCAAAACUUUGUGGCUUUUGAUAGCUAUGCUCACUUGUUAUAUAAGUUCCUUCCAUUUUUAGGGGCAAACGAGGUGGUUCUUUAUGGUUCUGUACAUAUUUCUUUUCUUCUCGAUUAACUGUGUCUUGAGCUAUUUUUUUCUCCACCCCAGCUAUUAUUUGAUCUUGGUCUUUUCGCUUCCCGGAACAAGCCCAGAGAUGAAGGUCAGGAUGAUGUUUAUUCCUUAAAACAAAGUUGGAAAAACAGCAGUUCAGAAAAAAAAAAAAAUCUAUUAACAAGCUGAAUACAAUGAUCUAUUUCAGAAUUAGGUUAGGAGGACAUCUAGGACUCAAGACAAAAGCAAAGAUGAAGUUGAUAUUAAAUCACAGAGGACUGCACUUACUCGGAUUUUUCAUCAACUGCUAACCUACUAACGUUGCUCAUUAAGCAAGGCAAGCUCUAGCACUAGGAGCAGAUUCAAAAAGAGUAAGACAGCGUUCUGAGGAACUGGUGCAGGAAGAGCUCCUCCACACCUUCAG
rnacentral:lncRNA from 1 species